rnacentral:rRNA from 1 species
CCUACGGGUGGCAGCAGUGGAGAAUAUUGGGCAAUGGGCGCAAGCCUGACCCAGCAACGCCGCGUGAAGGAAUAAGGCUUUCGGGUUGUAAACUUCUUUUAAGAGGGAAGAGCAGAAGACGGUACCUCUUGAAUAAGCCACGGCUAACUACGUGCCAGCAGCCUCCGUAAUACGUAGGUGGCAAGCGUUGUCCGGAGUUACUGGGUGUAAAGGGCGUGCAGCCGGGAAGAAAAGUCAGUUGUGAAAUCCAGCGGCUCAACCGCGGAACUGCAGUUGAAACUGCUUUUCUUGAGUAACGGAGAGGGCACCGGAAUGCCUGGUGUAGCGGUGAAAUGCGUAGAUAUAAGGAAGAACACCAGUGGCGAAGGCGGAUGACUGGACGGCAACUGACGGUGAGGCGCGAAAGCGUGGGGAGCAAACAGGAUUAGAUACCCGGGUAGUC